UACGUAGGGGGCAAGCGUUGUCCGGAAUCAUUGGGCGUAAAGAGCGUGUAGGCGGCCAGAUAAGUCCGCUGUGAAAACUCGAGGCUCAACUUCGAGCUGUCGGUGGAAACUAUUUGGCUAGAGUCCGGAAGAGGAGAGUGGAAUUCCUGGUGUAGCGGUGGAAUGCGCAGAUAUCAGGAAGAACACCCGUGGCGAAGGCGGCUCUCUGGAACGCAACUGACGCUGAGACGCGAAAGCGUGGGGAGCAAACAGG
rnacentral:rRNA from 1 species